rnacentral:rRNA from 1 species
CUCUAUGAAGAUAUAUACAGUUUGACCUGCCCACUGAAUUAUUAAAGGGCCGCGGUAUUCCUGACCGUGCGAAGGUAGCAUAAUCAUUAGUCUUUUAAUUGAAGGCUUGUAUGAAAGGUUGGACGAAAAAUGGACUGUUUCAAAUAAAAAGAUUGAAUUUAACUUUUAAGUGAAAAGGCUUAAAUAAAUUAAAAAGACGAUAAGACCCUAUAAAUCUUUACAUUUGUUAUUAUAGGUUUUGGAUUGUGUGUGUAAAAAAAAAUAUAAUAAAAAUGUUGUGUUGGGGCAACAGUGAUAUAGUAAUAUUAAUUGUUAAAAAUAAAAACAAAUAUAUUUGUUAAAUAAAGAUCCUUUUUAAAGAUUUAAAGAUUAAGUUACUUUAGGGAUAACAGCGUUAUUUUUUCUGAGAGUUCUUAUCGAAGAAAAAGAUUGCGACCUCGAUGUUGAAUUAAAAAUUCUUUUUAAUGCAGCAGUUAAAAAAGAAAGUCUGUUCGACUUUUAAAUUUUUACAUGAUUU